CAACUUUCAGCAACGGAUCUCUUGGCUCUCGCAUCGAUGAAGAACGCAGCGAAAUGCGAUAAGUAAUGUGAAUUGCAGAAUUCAGUGAAUCAUCGAAUCUUUGAACGCACCUUGCGCUCCUUGGUAUUCUGAGGAGCAUGCCUGUUUGAGUGUCAUUAAUA
rnacentral:rRNA from 2 species